ensembl:lincRNA
GAGCUGCAUAGGUCUGAGGGCUCUAACUUGUGAGUGGGAUUAGUACCCCAGUAAGAGAGGCCUGAGGGAUUUGUCUGUCUGUCCCUCCACCAGGUGAGGAUGCAGCAAACAGCUGUGUUCGAAGAGAGAGCCCUCGAGGAAUCUACUGGCACCUUGAACAUCAUGGCCUUUCCGGCCCCUAGAACCAUGAGCGGUAGACUGUUGGUUAUGCAUGGUCCAGACCAAAGUAUUCUGGUUCAGCAACCCAAGCGGACUAGACAAGGAAGGAUAUGGAAACGGGUGGAACCCAGCUGCCACCACGGGACGCUGUCAGUCCCCAUGCCACCGGUCAGCCCUGCCGCAUGCAUCUUGGGCUCGACCUAACCUGAAGAUGCUCUUCCAAGUGUCCAAGGGCUCUAGCAAGAAGGCCAUCCACAACCGAAGCUCCUGGACCCUGCACCAGACUGUGAGCCCUAAUCAACCUCUGCUCUUCAUGACUCACCCAGUCUGUGGUGCUGCGCUAUUAGCAGCAGAAAACAAACAAGACAGCUCUCAAGGGUCCACGCUAACCAUGCCACUGUCCCCUCACAGGCGUCAGUGCAGGGGCCAGCCCCUUCCAUGCCAAAAGCAAUGACAGCCACCCCUCCACCAGCACUUUCUAGGUGCCAGGCACUAAAGAAAAACGAGCAGAGAAGACCAAACAGCAAAGAAUGAGUGCCAGGCAAGUUUCACUGCCAAGCAAGCCACCCAAGCCAGGAGUCCAGGCAGAGGCUGGGAGGGGAGAGGAGGGGAAUCUUAAGGCCAGCCUAUCACAGCCCUUCCGUGCCUUAGGAGGCAGCCAAGCUCUGCACUCUGUGACCAGGGGUCAGCGUGGCUCUUGCAGGCGAGGCUGAGGGUACACUGCCCUCCCCGAUGGUGGUGUCCGGCUGCUCCACCCCACAUUCACCGCCCCGCCAGUGUCUGCACAGAGCGCCGUGAGCACGACGCUGACCCUCACAACUAUCCCACAAACAACGGCUCCUCCUCCCCAUUUCCGAACAGGAAACUGAGGCCCGGAGAGGUCAGGGAUUCUUCAGAAGCCCGAGUUGGAAGGUGGUUGGGCUGGGAUUUGAGCCUGGAUCCGGCCUCCUGCAAAGGACGUACAGAAAUGCCAGCCCUGGUGAGGCGGCAAGCAGGUGGCUGUAAGGCCGAGCCCAGAAUCCUCAGAAGCAUGCGGCGGGUAGCGGGGAACCAGUCCAGAAGGCGGGGCCACAACACCCGGGGUUGGGGAGCUGCCCAGGGGAGCAAGGGAGAAUGUGGGGUGUGUGCCCAGGCCGCGUGGGACCAGCUCCCUCCCUACUCCCAGGCGCCAGACCUGGGGGCGAUCUUUCAACUCCAGCCGGUCGUCCUCCCCCUGCGCCGGCUUCCCGCCCGCGUCUCCGGAAGCCGCACUGGCUCUGCAGACACCCCUUGGUGAAGGCAGCUCAUUACAGGACGGGAUGUGUGCUGGAACAGGAGCUCAAUAAAUCACCCGCUCCCUAGCCCAGUGGGCAGGGGUGGGGAGCACUGCGCGGAGACGGCGCAUUGUGUGUGCCUCGACCUGACACCCCAUGUUUCAGAAGGGUGAGCCUUACAACCCGGCCUGCCUGCUCGCAACAGCACCGAGCCUGUGGUCCCCACCUCGGCCUCUAGAGGACGCUCUACGGGAGGAAAGCCCUGCGGGGAGCCACGGCCGCUGGCCACUCUAGGGAUUCCACCCGCUCUCGGCCAACUGCGUGCCAAAGGGACCUUGCCGGGCACAUAGGAGCCCCAGAGGACCCGUGUCCCUGAAAAACACCGAACCCUUCCUAGCUCCUGCUCCCCGCUGUCCUGGGGCAGGGCAAGUCGACCUGGGGGGCCUUUCUCUUUCAGUCCUGAUUCAAAUCUAACCCACUGGGCACCACGUGCCUCAGUUUCCUCCUCUGAGCAGGGCCUGCCCCCGGUACUUCCUGAAGACCCCUGCGUGC